rnacentral:lncRNA from 1 species
AUGGGAAAGACUAGAGAUCUCUUCAAGAAAAUUAGAGAUACCAAGGGAACAUUUCAUGCAAAGAUGGGCUUGAUAAAGGACAGAAAUGGUAUAGACCUAACAGAGGCAGAAGAUAUUAAGAAGAGGUGGCAAGAAUACACAGAGAAACUGUACAAAAAAUAUCUUCAUGAGCCAGAUAAUCAUGAUGGUGUGAUCACUAAUCUAGAGCCAGAUAUCCUGGAAUGGGAAGUCAAGUGGGCCUUGGAAAGCAUCGCUAUGAACAAAGCUAGUGGAGGUGAUGGAAUUCCAGUUGAGCUGUUUCAAAUCCUGAAAGAUGAUGCUGUGAAAGUGCUGCACUCAAUAUGCUCAGCAAAUUUGAAAACUCAGCAGUGGCCACAGGACUGGAAAAGGUCAGUUUUCAUUCCAAUCCCAAAGAAAGGCAAUGCCAAAGAAUGCUCAAACUACCGCACAAAUGCACUCCUCUCACACGCUAGUAAAGUAAUGCUCAAAAUUCUCCAAGCCAGGUUUCAGCAAUAUGUGAACUGUGAACUCCCUGAUGUUCAAGCUGGUUUUAGAAAAGGCAGAGGAACCAGAGAGCAAAUUGCCAACAUCCUCUGGAUCAUGGAAAAAGCAAAAGAGUUCCAGAAAAACAUCUACUUCUGCCUUAUUGAAUAUGUCAAAGCGUUUGAUUGUGUGGAUCACAAUAAACUGUGGAAAAUUCUGAAAGAGAAGGGAAUACUAGACCACCUAACCUGCCUCUUGAGAAAUCUGUAUGCAGGUCAGGAAGCAACAGUUAGAAUUGGACAUGGAACAACAGACUGGUUCCAAAUAGGACAAGGAGUACAUCAAGGCUGUAUAUUGUCACCCUGCUUAUUUAACUUCUAUGCAGAGUACAUCAUGAGAAAUGCUGGGCUGGAAGAAGCACAAGCUGGAAUCAAGAUUGCCGGGAGAAAUAUCAAUAACCUCAGAUAUGCAGAUGACACCACUCUUAUGGCAGAAAGUGGAGAGGAACUAAAAAGCCUCUUGAUGAAAGUGAAAGUGGAGAGUGAAAAAGUUGGCCUAAAGCUCAACAUUCAGAAAAUGAAGAUCAUGGCAUCUGGUCCCAUCACUUCACGGGAAAUAGAUGGGGAAACAGUGGAAACAGUGUCAGACUUUAUUUUGGGGGGCUCCGAAAUCACUGCAGAUGGUGAUUGCAGCCAUGAAAUUAAAAGACACUUACUCCUUGGAAGAAAAGUUAUGACCAACCUAGAUAGUAUAUUCAAAAGCAGAGACAUUACUUUGCCGAUUAAGGUGUGUCUGGUCAAGGCUAUGGUUUUUCCAGUGGUCAUGUAUGGAUGUGAGAGUUGGACUGUGAAGAAAGCUCAGCACUGA